GAUGAACGCUGGCGGCGUGCCUAAUACAUGCAAGUCGAGCGAACAGACGAGGAGCUUGCUCCUCUGACGUUAGCGGCGGACGGGUGAGUAACACGUGGAUAACCUACCUAUAAGACUGGGAUAACUUCGGGAAACCGGAGCUAAUACCGGAUAAUAUAUUGAACCGCAUGGUUCAAUAGUGAAAGACGGUUUUGCUGUCACUUAUAGAUGGAUCCGCGCCGCAUUAGCUAGUUGGUAAGGUAACGGCUUACCAAGGCAACGAUUGGUAGCCGACCUGAGAGGGUGAUCGGCCACACUGGAACGUAGACACGGACCAGACUCCUACGGGAGGCAGCAGUAGGGAAUCGUCCGCAAUGGGCGAAAGCCUUACGGAGCAACGCCGCGUGAGUGAUGAAGGUCUUCGGAUCGUAAAACUCUGUUAUUAGGGAAGAACAAAUGUGUAUGUAACUAUGCACGUCCUGACGGUACCUACUCAGAAAGCCACGGCUAACUACGUG
rnacentral:rRNA from 1 species